GGAGGAAAAGAACUAACAAGGAUUCCCCUAGUAACUGCGAGUGAAGCGGGAAAAGCUCAAAUUUAAAAUCUGGCAGUCUUUGGCUGUCCGAGUUGUAAUCUAGAGAAGUGUUGCCCGCGCUGGACCGUGUACAAGUCUCCUGGGAUGGAGCGUCAUAGAGGGUGAGAAUCCCGUCUCUGACACGGACUACCAGGGCUUUGUGGUACGCUCUCAAAGAGUCGAGUUGUUUGGGAAUGCAGCUCAAAAUGGGUGGUAAAUUCCAUCUAAAGCUAAAUAUUGGCGAGAGACCGAUAGCGAACAAGUACCGUGAGGGAAAGAUGAAAAGAACUUUGGAAAGAGAGUUAAACAGUACGUGAAAUUGCUGAAAGGGAAACGCUUGAAGUCAGUCGCAUUAGCUGGGGAUCAGCCUUGCUUUUUGCUGGGUGUAUUUCCUGGUUGAUGGGUCAGCAUCAAUUUUGACCGCUGGAAAAAGGCUUGAGGAAUGUGGCACCUCCGUGGUGUGUUAUAGCUUCUUGUCACAUACAGUGGUUGGGAUUGAGGAACUCAGCACGCCGCAAGGCCGGGUUUCGACCACGUUCGUGCUUAGGAUGCUGACAAAAUGGCUUUA
rnacentral:rRNA from 2 species